rnacentral:sRNA from 1 species
UGCCCAGGAGCAGGUGCGGCUCAGAGCCCAGGUGCACCUGCUUGAGACCCGGGUCAAACAGCAACAGGUCAAGAUCAAGCAGCUUUUGCAGGAGAAUGAAGUCCAGUUCCUUGAUAAAGGAGAUGAGAAUACUGUCAUUGAUCUUGGAAGCAAGAGGCAGUAUGCAGAUUGUUCAGAGAUUUUCAAUGAUGGGUAUAAGCUCAGUGGAUUUUACAAAAUCAAACCUCUCCAGAGCCCAGCAGAAUUUUCUGUUUAUUGUGACAUGUCCGAUGGAGGAGGAUGGACUGUAAUUCAGAGACGAUCUGAUGGCAGUGAAAACUUUAACAGAGGAUGGAAAGACUAUGAAAAUGGCUUUGGAAAUUUUGUCCAAAAACAUGGUGAAUAUUGGCUGGGCAAUAAAAAUCUUCACUUCUUGACCACUCAAGAAGACUACACUUUAAAAAUCGACCUUGAAGAUUUUGAAAAAAAUAGCCGUUAUGCACAAUAUAAGAAUUUCAAAGUUGGAGAUGAAAAGAAUUUCUACGAGUUGAAUAUUGGGGAAUAUUCUGGAACAGCUGGAGAUUCCCUUGCGGGGAAUUUUCAUCCUGAGGUGCAGUGGUGGGCUAGUCACCAAAGAAUGAAAUUCAGCACGUGGGACAGAGAUCAUGACAACUAUGAAGGGAACUGCGCAGAAGAAGAUCAGUCUGGCUGGUGGUUUAACAGGUUUGAUGUCUUACGAGCAUAGUUGUAAUGGAGUUGAUGAUAUCUCACUGAUAGACAUUAAUUAUCAAUAUAAUAUGUAUGGUAAUGUUAGUCUUUAUUUAUAAUAUUAGUAUUAUUAAGUAAUCAUUCUCAGAAUUCUUCAGCAAUGAAGUCGUUUUGAGGAUUUGUUCAUUGUGUACAUUAGUAAAGUUUAAAUGUCAUAGAAAUA